ACGUAGAAACAUCGAUUCCCGUACGAUUACCAAAGUUAAGCAACGUUGAGCCUGUAGAGUACCUAGAUGGGUAACCGCUUGGGAAGUCCUG